rnacentral:rRNA from 1 species
GACGAACGCUGGCGGCGUGCUUAACACAUGCAAGUCGAACGGUGAGACCCUGCUUUUGUUGGGUGCUCGAGUGGCGAACGGGUGAGUAACACGUGAGUAACCUGCCUGUUAGUUUGGGAUAACUUCAGGAAACUGUGGCUAAUACCGGAUAGUAGCUCCUGCUGCAUGGUGACGGUUGGAAAGUUUCGGUGGUUGGGGAUGGACUCGUGGCUUAUCAGCUUGUUGGUGGGGUAGUGGAUUACCAAGGCUUUGACGGGUAGCCGGACUGAGAGGGUGACCGGCCACAUUGGGACUGAGAUACGGCCCAGACUCCUACGGGAGGCAGCAGUGGGGAAUAUUGCACAAUGGGCGGAAGCCUGAUGCAGCAACGCCGCGUGCGGGAUGACGGUCUUAGGGUUGUAAACCGCUUUAGCCUGUGACGAAGCGUGAGUGACGGUAAUGUGUAAAGAAGCACCGGCUAACUACGUG